CCUACGGGAGGCAGCAGUAGGGAAUCUUCCACAAUGGACGAAAGUCUGAUGGAGCAACGCCGCGUGAGUGAAGAAGGGUUUCGGCUCGUAAAGCUCUGUUGGUAGUGAAGUAAGAUAGAGUUAGUAACUGGCCUUUCUUUGAUGGUAAUUACUUAGAAAGUCACGGCUAAUUACGUGCCAGCAGCCGCGGUAAUACGUAGGUGGCAAGCGUUGUCCGGAUUUAUUGGGCGUAAAGGGAGUGCAGGCGGUUCAAUAAGUCUGAUGUGAAAGUCUUCGGCUCAACCGGAGAAUUGCAUCAGAAACUGGUGAACUUGAGUGCAGAAGAGGAGGGUGGAACUCGAUGUGUAGCGGUGGAAUGCUUAGAUAUAUGGAAGAACACCAGUGGCGAAGGCAGCUCGCUGGACUGCAACUGACGCUGAGGCUCGAAAGCAUGGGUAGCGAACAGGAUUAGAUACCCCAGUAGUC
rnacentral:rRNA from 1 species